UGUCUCAAGACUAAGCCAUGCAUGUCUAAGUAUAAGCGAUCUUAUACGGUGAAACUGCGAAUGGCUCAUUAAAUCAGUUAUAGUUUAUUUGAUGGUCUCUCACCACUUGGAUAACCGUGGUAAUUCUAGAGCUAAUACAUGCGUCGAGUCCCGACUAUCGCGGAAGGGAUGUAUUUAUUAGAUUGAAGACCAAUGCGGGGCCUCGGUCCCGGUCUGUUGGUGAUUCAUAGUAACUGUUCGGAGCGCAGGGCCUCUCGUGCCGGCGCCGGAUCAUUCAAGUUUCUGCCCUAUCAACUGUCGAUGGUAAGGUAUCGGCUUACCAUGGUUGCAACGGGUGACGGAGAAUUAGGGUUCGAUUCCGGAGAGGGAGCCUGAGAAACGGCUACCACAUCCAAGGAAGGCAGCAGGCGCGCAAAUUACCCAAUCCCGACACGGGGAGGUAGUGACAAUAAAUAACAAUACAGGGCUUUCGUAAGUCUUGUAAUUGGAAUGAGAACAAUUUAAAUCCCUUAACGAGGAACAAUUGGAGGGCAAGUCUGGUGCCAGCAGCCGCGGUAAUUCCAGCUCCAAUAGCGUAUAUUAAAGUUGUUGCAGUUAAAAAGCUCGUAGUUGGAUUUCGGCGGCGCCGCGUCGGUCCGCCUGGCGGCGUGUCACUGUCGCGGCGCGGCUUUCUCUCGAGGGCCGCGCGUGCUCUUGAGUGAGCGUGCGCGGGACUCGGGACGUUUACUUUGAAAAAAUUAGAGUGUUCAAAGCAGGCGGUUGGCUUGAAUACAUUAGCAUGGAAUAAUGGAAUAGGACGUCGGUCCUGUUUUGUUGGUUUUGGGGACCGAGGUAAUGAUUAAUAGGGACAGUUGGGGGCAUUCGUAUUCAAUUGUCAGAGGUGAAAUUCUUGGAUUUAUGGAAGACGCACGCAUGCGAAAGCAUUUGCCAAGGAUGUUUUCGUUAAUCAAGAACGAAAGUUGGA
rnacentral:rRNA from 1 species